rnacentral:rRNA from 1 species
GAUGAACGCUGGCGGCGUGCCUAAUACAUGCAAGUCGAGCGAACAGAUGAGGAGCUUGCUCCUCUGACGUUAGCGGCGGACGGGUGAGUAACACGUGGAUAACCUACCUAUAAGACUGGGAUAACUUCGGGAAACCGGAGCUAAUACCGGAUAAUAUAUUGAACCGCAUGGUUCAAUAGUGAAAGACGGUUUUGCUGUCACUUAUAGAUGGAUCCGCGCCGCAUUAGCUAGUAGGUAAGGUAACGGCUUACCAAGGCAACGAUGCGUAGCCGACCUGAGAGGGUGAUCGGCCACACUGGAACUGAGACACGGUCCAGACUCCUACGGGAGGCAGCAGUAGGGAAUCUUCCGCAAUGGGCGAAAGCCUGACGGAGCAACGCCGCGUGAGUGAUGAAGGUCUUCGGAUCGUAAAACUCUGUUAUUAGGGAAGAACAAAUGUGUGUGUAACUAUGCACGUCUUGACGGUACCUAAUCAGAAAGCCACGGCUAACUACGUG